rnacentral:rRNA from 1 species
CUACCGCAGCCUACACAUGCAGUCGACGGUAACAGGAUAGCUUGCUAUCGCUGACGAGUGGCGGACGGGUGAGUAAUACUUAGGGAUCUGCCUCUGUGUGGGGGAUAACUAUUGGAAACGAUAGCUAAUACCGCAUAAUGUCUACGGACCAAAGCGGGCUUCGGCUCGUGCGCAGAGAGGAACCUAAGCGAGAUUAGCUAGUUGGUGAGGUAAAGGCUCACCAAGGCGACGAUCUCUAGCUGUUCUGAGAGGAAGAUCAGCCACACUGGAACUGAGACACGGUCCAGACUCCUACGGGAGGCAGCAGUGGGGAAUAUUGCACAAUGGGGGAAACCCUGAUGCAGCCAUGCCGCGUGUGUGAAGAAGGCCUUCGGGUUGUAAAGCACUUUCAGUUGUGAGGAAAGUUUAGUAGUUAAUACCUGCUAGAUGUGACGUUAGCAACAGAAGAAGCACCGGCUAACUCCGUGCCAGCAGCCGCGGUAAUACGGAGUGUGCGAGCGUUAAUCGGAAUUACUGGGCGUAAAGCGCACGCAGGCGGUCUGUUAAGCUAGAUGUGAAAGCCCCGCGCUCAACGUGGGAGGGUCAUUUAGAACUGGCAGACUAGAGUCUUGGAGAGGGGAGUGGAAUUCCAGGUGUAGCGGUGAAAUGCGUAGAGAUCUGGAGGAACAUCAAUGGCGAAGGCAACUCCCUGGCCAAAGACUGACGCUCAUGUGCGAAAGUGUGGGUAGCGAACAGGAUUAGAUACCCUGGUAGUCCACACCGUAAACGCUGUCUACUAGCUGUUUGUGAAUUU